rnacentral:rRNA from 1 species
CAGCCCGAAACCAGACGAGCUACUCACAACAGUUUACCAAGAACUAACUCAUCUAUGUGGCAAAAUAGUGAGAAGAUUUGUAAGUAGAGGUGACAUGCCUAACGAGCCUGGUGAUAGCUGGUUGUCCAGAAAAUGAAUCUAAGUUCAGCUUUAAAGAUACCAAAAUUCAAAUAAACCCCACUGUAGCUUUAAAAGUUAGUCUAAAAAGGUACAGCCUUUUAGAAACGGAUACAACCUUGACUAGAGAGUAAAAUUUAACACUACCAUAGUAGGCCUAAAAGCAGCCAUCAAUUAAGAAAGCGUUAAAGCUCAACAACAAAAUUAAAUAGAUUCCAACAACAAAUGAUUAACUCCUAGCCCCAAUACUGGACUAAUCUAUUAUAGAAUAGAAGCAAUAAUGUUAAUAUGAGUAACAGAAAAAUUUUCUCCUUGCAUAAGUCUAAGUCAGUGCCUGAUAAUACUCUGACCACUAACAGUCAAUAAAAAUAAUCCAACAAUAAACAAUUUAUUGAUUAUACUGUUAACCCAACACAGGAGUGCAUCUAAGGAAAGAUUAAA